rnacentral:rRNA from 1 species
UACGUAGGGGGCGAGCGUUGUCCGGAAUCAUUGGGCGUAAAGCGCGUGUAGGCGGUUCAGUAAGUCUGCUGUGAAAGUCCAGGGCUCAACCCUGGGAUGCCGGUGGAUACUGCUGAACUAGAGUGCGGAAGAGGCGAGUGGAAUUCCCGGUGUAGCGGUGAAAAUGCGCAGAUAUCGGGAGGAACACCAAUGCGAAGGCAGCUCGCUGGGACGUUACUGACGCUGAGACGCGAAAGCGUGGGGAGCAAACAGG